UUUUCAUUGGAACGAUACAGAGAAGAUUAGCAUGGCCCCUGUGCAAGGAUGACAUACAAAUUCAUGAAGUGUUCCAUACUAAA
rnacentral:snRNA from 1 species